UACGGGGGGAGCAAGCGUUGUUCGGAUUUACUGGGCGUAAAGGGCGCGUAGGCGGUCGUGACAAGUCACUUGUGAAAUCUCCGGGCUUAACUCGGAACGGUCAAGUGAUACUGUCGGACUAGAGUACAGAAGGGGCAACUGGAAUUCUCGGUGUAGCGGUGAAAUGCGUAGAUAUCGAGAGGAAUACCUGCGGCGAAGGCGGGUUGCUGGGCUGACACUGACGCUGAGGCGCGAAAGCCGGUGGGAGCAAACAGGGAUUA
rnacentral:rRNA from 1 species